rnacentral:rRNA from 1 species
AACGAACGCUGGCGGCAUGCCUAACACAUGCAAGUCGAACGAGACCUUCGGGUCUAGUGGCGCACGGGUGCGUAACGCGUGGUAACCUGCCCUUAGGUUCGGAAUAACUCCCCGAAAGGGGUGCUAAUACCGGAUAAUGUCUUCGGACCAAAGAUUUAUCGCCUUUGGAUGGGCCCGCGUUGGAUUAGCUAGUUGGUAGGGUAAAAGCCUACCAAGGCGACGAUCCAUAGCUGGUCUGAGAGGAUGAUCAGCCACACUGGGACUGAGACACGGCCCAGACUCCUACGGGAGGCAGCAGUGGGGAAUAUUGGACAAUGGGCGAAAGCCUGAUCCAGCAAUGCCGCGUGAGUGAUGAAGGCCUUAGGGUUGUAAAGCUCUUUUACCCGGGAUGAUAAUGACAGUACCGGGAGAAUAAGCGCCGGCUAACUCCGUG